rnacentral:rRNA from 1 species
CAGACUAGGUGAAAAGCCUGUUUGGUUGUGUCUGUCUGUUGAAUCGGAAUUCUUACGAGUCUAGUUGUUUGAGAGUACAACUUAAAGCUGGUGGUAAAUUUCAUCAAAGGCUAAAUAUAUGAGGGGACUAAUAGCGAACAAGUACCAUGAGGGAAAGUUGAAAAGAACUCUGACGAGAGAGUUCAACAGUGCGUGAAACCAUAUUGAGUAAAACAGAUAACUGUGUCGUUAUGCGGUGUGUCUAUCAACAGUAUAUCGGGUGUUGCGAUUCGGCGAGUGUGAGCUGUUUAUUCAGACGAUCGCUCGUUGUUAGCAUAGCUCGGGGUUCUGUGUACUAGUGCACAUCCAAUCAUUGAGAAACUAUGCUACUGCGGCAUCGGUGCACAUCAGUCCCCGCCUAGCGGGAAGUUGUGUACUGGGCUCAGCUGGCGGCGUAGUUUAGCUGUGUGACAGCUGUGGGAUGCGUUUGUUGAAUGUGCCUGCUUUGUCUGCGAAUCGGUUUAUUCCUUUUUGCGGUGAGUAUGGUACAGUAGGCGAGCGUCUCGCCAUCAAUGGUUGACAUUAGUUAUUUGACCCGUCUUGAAACACGGACCAAGGAGUUCAAAUGGCACGCGAGUCAUUGGGUUUAAACACCCGAAGGCGAAGUGAAAUGCAAACCUAUCGUUACUCGUAGAAUCUACGAUUCAGCGAUAAGCUACUCGUGCUUUCUGGCAUUUGUAGACUAAAAGCGUGAUGUUUGAGACCCGAA